AUGCUCAAUGCCAAAAAAAAAAAAAUACAAUAUGAUAAACCCUCCAAGGAAUUGAGACCAACCACAGUUAUUGCAUAAACGCCAGAUAAAUUCUGCUUCUUUUAGAACAAAAAAUAAAAUGAAAAAAAGGCAAAACGCCCAAAACUAUAAAUAUAUAUUCAAAAAGCCUCCGAGUCCAAUUACCUGAAAUGGGUACAGGAGCAGCAA
rnacentral:misc_RNA from 1 species